rnacentral:rRNA from 1 species
GAUGAACGCUGGCGGCGUGCCUAAUACAUGCAAGUCGAGCGAACAGACGAGGAGCUUGCUCCUCUGACGUUAGCGGCGGACGGGUGAGUAACACGUGGAUAACCUACCAAUAAGACUGGGAUAACUUCGGGAAACCGGAGCUAAUACCGGAUAAUAUAUUGAACCGCAUGGUUCAAUAGUGAAAGACGGUUUUGCUGUCACUUAUAGAUGGAUCCGCGCCGCAUUAGCUAGUUGGUAAGGUAACGGCUUACCAAGGCGACGAUGCGUAGCCGACCUGAGAGGGUGAUCGGCCACACUGGAACUGAGACACGGUCCAGACUCCUGCGGGAGGCAGCAGUAGGGAAUCUUCCGCAAUGGGCGAAAGCCUGACGGAGCAACGCCGCGUGAGUGAUGAAGGCCUUCGGAUCGUAAAACUCUGUUAUUAGGGAAGAACAAAUGUGUAAGUAACUAUGCACGUCUUGACGGUACCUAAUCAGAAAGCCACGGCUAACUACGUG